rnacentral:rRNA from 1 species
ACGCUCGACACCUACGGGGGGCAGCAGUCGGGAAUAUUGCGCAAUGGAGGAAACUCUGACGCAGUGACGCCGCGUAUAGGAAGAAGGUCUUCGGAUUGUAAACUAUUGUCGUUUAGGGAAGAAAAAGGACAGUACCUAAGGAGGAAGCUCCGGCUAACUACGUGCCAGCAGCCGCGGUAAUCUGAGCGGGCUGGCAAGGC